rnacentral:rRNA from 1 species
UACGGAGGGUGCGAGCGUUGUCCGGAAUUAUUGGGCGUAAAGGGCGCGUAGGCGAUUUGAAAAGUCUUGUGUGAAAGCCCCGAGCUUAACUCGGGAAGUGCACAAGAAACUGUUGAAUUUGAGUUCCGGAGAGGAAGGCAGAAUUCCCGGUGUAGCGGUGAAAUGCGUAGAUAUCGGGAGGAAUACCAGUGGCGAAGGCGGCCUUCUGGACGGAUACUGACGCUGAGGCGCGAAAGCCAGGGGAGCAAACGGG